UAUUGCAUCAGCAUGACUUGGAUAUGAGACAUGGAGUCAAAGGAGAUCAUUUUAGAGCUUUAAGAUUUGAUUGGCCCACUGGAUUUUGAACUUGCAUAGGGCCUGUAGCCCCUUCAUUUUAGCCAAUUUCUCCCAUUUGGAAUGGGUUUAUUUACCCAAUGCCUGUACCUCCAUUGUGUCUAGGAAGUAACUAACUUGCUUUUAAUUUUACAGGCUUAUAGGCAGAAGGGACUUGCCUUGUCUGAGAUGAGACUUUGGACUGUGGACUUUUGAGUUAAUGCUGAAAUGAGAUGAGAAUUUUAGAAUAUGGGGUAGGAAGAGGAGAAGAGUGGCGUCAAUAUUAGAGCAAGUUAGUAGCAUCUGGGUAUCAACAGUGCACUGUAAUCUUACAGUUUAUGGAACUGCUUUCUUCAGCUAUGUAAGUUCAGUCCAAAUGGUUACUCUGUUUAAAUAUAUUCUCUGUAUAUUAUAAACAAUAGGUGGUUUUGGCUGGUAUUGCUCAGAGCAGGCAAAGGAGGCAUAGCCUGCCUCUUAGUAGGAAGUAGCAGGUAUUAACCUUUUUGAGCUACCUG
rnacentral:lncRNA from 1 species